AUGAACGCUGGCGGCGUGCCUAAUACAUGCAAGUCGAGCGAACGGACGAGAAGCUUGCUUUUCUGAUGUUAGCGGCGGACGGGUGAGUAACACGUGGAUAACCUACCUAUAAGACUGGGAUAACUUCGGGAAACCGGAGCUAAUACCGGAUAAUAUUUUGAACCGCAUGGUUCAAAAGUGAAAGACGGUCUUGCUGUCACCUAUAGAUGGAUCCGCGCUGCAUUAGCUAGUUGGUAAGGUAACGGCUUACCAAGGCAACGAUGCAUAGCCGACCUGAGAGGGUGAUCGGCCACACUGGAACUGAGACACGGUCCAGACUCCUACGGGAGGCAGCAGUAGGGAAUCUUCCACAAUGGGCGAAAGCCUGACGGAGCAACGCCGCGUGAGUGAUGAAGGUCUUCGGAUCGUAAAACUCUGUUAUUAGGGAAGAACAUAUGUGUAAGUAACUGUGCACAUCUUGACGGUACCUAAUCAGAAAGCCACGGCUAACUACGUG
rnacentral:rRNA from 1 species